CUAGGAUGAACGCUAGCGACAGGCCUAACACAUGCAAGUCGAGGGGCAGCACAAGGAGCAAUCUGAGGUGGCGACCGGCGCACGGGUGAGUAACACGUAUGCAACCUGCCUGUAAGCGGGGAAUAACCCGUUGAAAGACGGACUAAUACCGCAUAAUACUAAAUUACUGCAUGGUAAUUUAUUUAGACAUUUAUGGCUUACAGAUGGGCAUGCGCAUGAUUAGCUAGUUGGAGAGGUAACGGCUCCCCAAGGCAACGAUCAUUAGGGGUUCUGAGAGGAAGGUCCCCCACACUGGUACUGAGACACGGACCAGACUCCUACGGGAGGCAGCAGUGAGGAAUAUUGGUCAAUGGACGAGAGUCUGAACCAGCCAAGUCGCGUGCAGGAAGAAUGUUCCCUAUGGAUUGUAAACUGCUUUUGCAGGGGAAUAAAGUGCAUCACGUGUGAUGUUUUGUAUGUACUCUGCGAAUAAGGAUCGGCUAACUCCGUGCCAGCAGCGGC
rnacentral:rRNA from 1 species